rnacentral:rRNA from 1 species
GACGAACCGUGCGAACGUUGUUCGGAAUCACUGGGCUUAAAGGGCGCGUAGGCGGGUCUGCAAGUCCGGGGUGAAAGCCCCCAGCUCAACUGGGGAAGUGCCUUGGAUACUGCAGGUCUAGAGCGAGGUAGGGGCACGUGGAACUUCGGGUGGAGCGGUGAAAUGCGUUGAUAUCCGAAGGAACGCCGGUGGCGAAAGCGACGUGCUGGAUCUCUUCUGACGCUGAGGCGCGAAAGCCAGGGGAGCAAACGGG